CCUGGCCUCAAGUGAUCCACCUGCCUUGGCCUCUCAAAGUGCUGGGAUUACAGGAGUGAGCCACCCCUCCCAAUCAAGAGACGCAAUCUUUAUUAUCAUCUGUGCUCAGGACUUAAUUCUAGAAAGAAGAGUCAGACCAAUCAACAGCAGACAGACCAGAUGAGUAAAUUACACAGUAUUUUAGGAGGGGAUACAUACUACGGAAAAAGAAAGGGUAGAUCAAGGAAAAAUAUGAAUGAAGAUUCUUUGAGUGAGAUCAAGGCUCAUGGCUUUACAUUGAAAAUGCACAACAGGCCAGGUACAGUGGCUCACGCCUGUAAU
rnacentral:lncRNA from 1 species